CAAGAGGACCAUCUGUCCUUUCAUCCUAAAGGUGGACUGGAGGAUAUCUGCUACCACGGAAGGCCCAAGGCCCCGGAAAUGAUACUCCCAAACAGCAGCGAGGCGAAAGGAAAGAGAAAGGGCUUGUCUAGGAACGCCCACCGCACACCGUUUCCUCCAACCCGGAAGUGAUCUCCCCUACCGUUGAGAGCGGAGGAAACCCAAGGCUAGGUCUUCCCGGCAUGCCCUGGGCUUCCGGCGACCCUGCCCCUUUCCUGCCGUCUGUUCUGGCUUCCAAGCGUGUGCUAUUGCUCAUUGCUUUCCUUUACUUGGUGGGGACUUCCUUUUCACAAUACCUGGUGUCUCGGAGGCGGUGGCACAGAACACUCAACAUGGCCGCCUCCAAGCCGGUAAAGGCAACAAUGGUCGCAGCUGCUGCUCCAGUCUCCGGGAGCGGAGUGGGCCUUGGCGGUGGGACUCGGCUCAGGCACUAGGGUUCUGGCGCGGCUAGUAGAGGCGUUCCUGCUUCUGGGCACGGGUGCCCUGUACCUGUGAACUGGCAGCGGUGGCGCCGCGAGGCCAGCCUAGGCUCAGUGGCGAACGGAAGACCCCGGAGGGCAGUGUCAGUCCUCCCCGGGGCAGCAGAAUUCCCGAAGGUUCCGGUGCCCACUUGGAAAUAGUGAGAAGCUGCCCCGGGCCGUAGAGGUAGAACCGAAUGAAUGCAUCUUUACCUUCAAGGGCUGUCCGGGUGAGGGAGAAACAGCAAGGGGCUGCUCCUGAAUUUAAAAACUCAUUUCUGGCUGCCUCUGUAUGGAAUGGAGUUACACCAGGGUGCAGGUUACCGACCUUCUUUGACAUUUUCCUUUGGCUUUCCAAAAAAAAGUCUCGCUUUCCCCAAUGACUCGGCAUUUAUUCCUACUGUUAUACAUAAGGGAAAUAUUCGCGAAUGUCACGAUUGCGUUUAGCUAAGAAUCUAAGGAAGCCAAAUUUCAUUAAUGAUUGGUACAUUAUGAUAUGAAUUGCUUUUGUAAUUUCCAAAGUCCAGAACUUAAUCGAUAAGAACAUUUUAAUGAGAAAAAGCUAAAUAACUAUAUAUAUACAAUAUAACUUUAUAUAUGUUUUAAAGAGUAAAAUAAUGUUGGCAUUUUUAAUUUUUUUUUUUGAUAUGUUGGAUGGGAAUAAUGUCUUAAACUCUUUGCCUGGAGGCAUCUUAAAUAUUUGUGUCACUGGAAAUAUACAUACCCUUAUACACAUGGGAGCCAUUGGCACUCUAUUCAAGGUGAAGAUGCAUUUUUAGUAAGUAGUUAUAUUAGUCUAACUUCUAUAUAUUACUGCCUACAAUGUGUGAGGUAUGAUACUAACCCAUGAAAGAGCAGUAGGAGAGUAAAACAUGUAUUUUGUUGUUUGGUACCGGUGAUAGCCAGAGGUUAUCAGGUUAGCCGCUGAGCCACGUACAUCCCCUGCCUUUUUUUAUAUUUUAUUUAGAGACUGGGUCUCGCUGAAUUGUUUGGGCCCUAGCUAAGUUUCUGAGUUUGGCUUUGAACUCUGCGAUCCUUCUGCCUCAGCCUCCAGGAUUAUAGGUUUGUGCCACAGCUCCCAGUUAUGGCUUGUUUUUAAUCAAAGAAAAUGCAUUACAAUAUGGAAAAGAACCCAUGGACUGUGAGAACUAGAGAAAUGUCACUUAAUAUUGAACUCUUCACCACUGUUAGUUUGGGAAAGUCAUUUUAUCUCCCUGAUGUUACUACUAUCAUCCCUGUAGAAUAGGAGGAUUAAAAUAUUGGAUCUCUCAGAUUCAUCCAGCACUAAAAAUUGAUGAUCCAGAGGGCUGCCAGUGAGAGUUGUUAUCAAGAGGAUUCUCUGAAUUAGCUGUCACAUGUUAUUUUCAUAAGUAUGAAAUUCCAUGCUUAAUUAAUAUAAUUUUAAUCAUUGAAUAAUAGAUGAAAGAAAUGUACAUUAAAGUUCUCAGAUUUACAAUCAUUAAAAAUAAAAUUGUGUUUUUAACAUUUUGUUGUAGCUUCAGCCACCACACUUCAUCCUGGGGAUUCCAUGCCAUUGGUAUUUGAUAGAGUUUAGCAAAUUCCCUUUUGGUGUUUAGAUUUAAGUCUCCUUUUCAGUUUUUCAGCACUGUGAAUUAACCUUGAUGAUUUUUGAAUUUUAUGUUCUGUAGUUUUUUAAGUUUUACAAAGAAUUUUUCCCCCUGAUUGCUGUUAAAAAUUAGACUUUUAAGAUCAAAUUCUUCAUGUAACCUGUGCUACUUUAAAAUGUUUAUUAUCUUUGAUCCCAAAUAAAAGGGAGCAAAACACUUAUAUACCAUUGUUCAUCUUGUGGAACCAUGUGAGCUCCUGCAUGAAAUCUUGUUUUGAAUUUACUGAAGGAAGCAAUACCCUUUAUGGCAGAUGUCUGUCAGAUAAAUUUGUAAGUGUAGUCAGGAACUUACCCAAAAGAGGAAAACUUACAACUACUACAACAAAGUCAAGUAUUUAAAAGGAAGUGAUGUGAUAAUUCCUAUAUACAAUACUUGAACUAAUUAAUUUAUAUUUUGCCUUUUAAAAAGAAGCCUAUUGUGUUGGAUUGGAAUUGGAUUCAUCAUAAGCUCAUAAGAUUCAUAUA
rnacentral:lncRNA from 1 species